CAGGAAUUGGGAUUUUGCUGGGAUCACAAAAAUGAACAUGAUAGAUACAUUCAUCCACUUCCAGACCUUAUCUUCCAGUGGUGGCCUUUGAAUGAUCAACCAGCCUAGUGGACGAAGAUGGCAUAGGAGACCUUGCAGGAGGCCAUGGCGAUCGUCCAGGCCAGACACUGGCAUCGUGGACCGGGUGGGGGACCACGGCCCAGCCAAGGGGACACAGAAAACUAAGCAGCCCACUCGGCAGGGGGUGCCUGCAGGGUGUCGAGGAGGGAUGAGACGGGCGGCUCCUGACAUGCUUGUCAUCCUUAUCAGAAAUGUCAUGUGUGGAAAACUGCAGAGAAUUCUGGUGAUGGGCAUUUAUGAAUCAGGAGGUGGUUUCCCUGGAGAACUUCGGCUCAGAGCCUCAGGGCUGCUUCAUGCUCUCCCUGCAACUGGGGCUCAAGUCUCCUGAAUGGACUGAAGCGUGUGAUUCCUACACUGGAGAGAAUUCAAGAGUCACACCCUAAAAGCUCACCUGGCACCAGCAUCACACCAGUGGUGCUCCUGAGGACACAGUGAUUGACGAGGGAAGAGGCAGGUCAGCGACAGCCACGCAAUGCCCUCCAGGCGGGCCCUGCAUAUAGCAACUCGCGUCAGUCUUCCAGUGGCCCUGAGUGGUGCAGAAUUCAGUGUGGUGAGAAUCAGUGUUCGGAGAGGUCAUGCAAGAGGGUGAAAUGCAUGCUGCUCACAGCCAAAAGUCAUGUCAGAAAGGGCGUUACCGCCCCCCCAGCCCCAGGCAGACACCGCAAGGUGUGCAGGCGGCAGAGAAUUGAGAUGCAAGCUGCUUGCGCUGAGCGACUGCACACAGAGAGGGUUUGGUUGCCAGACAGAGCGACUCCACCCUUGUGAUCGAAUAAAGGCCUAUGAGAACCAGUCGGGCCUCAGGAUGCGAUUCUGGCUCCUGAAGUACAUUAAUACGUUUUUCCAUCAAGUGAUUGAUAGAAAGACCAGAGACAUGUAUCAGUCGUGCUGUGUCUUGGCUAGGAGCUUCCGUUUGAUAGCAGCAGAUGAGCAGGCACCUUCUGUGCCUGAACUAACUCACCUAGAAUUCUCUGCCCUCAGUACUUUGAAGAAAGGUGGAUAAUGAGACCAAGGCUAAGAGACACAUACUAUUUCAUCUUGCUGUCAAAACCUAUUAUUUAAAUAAUUGGAAACUUCUGAAACAUUGAAAUAAAAGUAGGCCUGAAGGGAAUAGAAAUGGAUUUUUUUUUUAAAGGAGGAAGAGAGAACAAGAAGGAAUUUGGGCUUGUGGUGAUAAUGGCUUGUCAGUGUACUUGCGUCCCUUGUACCCAGUGUGCCCCUGCGGUAGGGACGCCGAUGGGGAGGAACAUGUGCAGGGACGGGGGGUAUCUGGGUGCACUUUCUGCUCAGUUUUGCUGUAAACUGAAACUGCUCUAAAAAA